ACCAGUGAACGCUAAGUCUCAUGCCGACAAGUAGCACAACGGCCUCCGUCACUGAUAUGUAACCGCUGGUUCCGUAUUCCGCUUCAUUUGCAUUCCACAUUUUUGUAGGUAAAAGAGCAGAGGCAAGGCUUAUCGUAAAGAGUUUCCAACUUUAACAAUGUGAGGAUUUCAGGUUCGAAAAUGGAGGAAAACUUAGGAAAUGGAUCUUUGAGAAUGAAUGGUAAUGUUUCUAACGAAGUUGUUGCUGGAUUGGAAACCGGUGCUCGAGCCACCCUUAUCUGUCUGUACAGUGUGGUGUGUGUUACCGCCGUCGUUGGAAACACAGCUGUGUGUUACCUCGUUUUUGUUCUACGACGUAUGAGGACUGUUACCAAUUUCUUUAUAGCAAGCCUGGCUGUCAGUGACAUGCUCAUGGCACUAGUUUGCAUCCCAUUCACGUUUGUGGCAAAUGUUCUUUUGGACCAUUGGCCUUUCGGAUAUGCCUUUUGUCCGCUUGUGACGUAUCUUCAAGCUGUGGUAGUAUUUCAAAACGCUUAUACUCUUUUAUCCAUGAGCAUGGAGCGGUAUAUUGCAAUAAUGUACCCCUUCAGACCGCGGCUUGGAAAGCGGAAGUGCUUGUACGUUAUCGUAGUGUGCUGGGUGCUGGCAUUUCUGACGCCGUUGCCCACGGCUGUGACAUCCCAUGUUGUGGCCAGUACCAGUAAUGACUCCAACCAGACUCUGUACCUAUGUAGGGAGGAAUGGUCCGACACUCAGAGAUUCUCCUACACACUCACCAUCAUGGUACUGCAAUACUUUGUCCCACUUCUUGUUCUUCUCUACACGUAUAUCAGGAUCGUCCACGUGGUAUGGCUCAAGGACAUCCCGGCUCUCGAGUCAAGGGAAGGGCUGCAGGACCCUAGAAAGAAGGCAAUCUUGAUGAUGAUUACUGUCGUGGGCAUCUACGGCAUCUGCUGGCUGCCUCUGCACGUCAUCACCAUCGUUGGCGACGUCAACCCUACCAUCUACGACUACAGCUACAUGAGAACCAUCUGGAUUGGCGCUCACUGGCUGGCCAUGAGCAGCUGUGCAUAUAACCCCUUCAUCUACUGGUGGAUGAACUCAAAGUUCAGGGAGGGUUAUGUGAACAUCUUGAGAUCCUUCAGGGCCUGUCUGUCAGGAAGGGAUAGGACCUUCUACAUCAACAAGACAAGAGGCUACUCCAGCACUGAUGACCACCGGGGCAAGCAGAACGGAGAUAUCGGAAUGCGGGAUAUUGGACGCAGGCGAGAUGUCAAUUCGCACACGGAAUCCGAGGAGCACAAACAUUCGCAAAUUGUGGAUCCUAAUCUCGAACUUGAACCUGAUAAAGUGCCGCUGAAUGUGUAGAGCUGCGUCACAGAAAGAUGACGUAUAUAGGUUGGCCUUACAAAGUGCCACUGAGUGUGUAGAGGUACGUCACAAAGUGAUGACGUAUAUUUGCUAGUCUUACAUAGUACCGCUCAGUGUGUAGAACUACGUCACAAAUUGAUGACGUAUAUCGGUUGGCCUUACAAAGUGCCGCCCAUUGUGUGAGGUACGUGACAAGCUUGUGACGUAUAUUGGCUGAUCUUACGAAGUAUCGCUCAUUGUGUAGAGCUACGUUACAAACUACAAACGAAUAUGGAUUGGUCUUACAAAGUACCGCUCAGUGUGUAGAGAUACGUCACGAAGUGAUAACGUAUAAGGGUUUGUCUUACAAAGUGCCGCCAAUUGUUGUGAGGUACGUCAUAAUUAUAAACUGAUGACGUAUAUGGGUUGGUCUUACAAAGUAACGCUCAGUAUGUAGAGCCACGUCACAAACGAUGACGUAUAUUUGUUGGUGUUACAAAGUGACGUUUAAAGUAGUGCGCUACAUCAUAAACGGAUGACGUAUAUUGGUUGGUGUUACAAAGUGACGCUCAAUGCGUAGAGCUCUGUCCCACAUAUGACGUUUUCGGCUUGAUGUACUAGUAAUUGCUUUUCAGUGUAAAGUGAUGACGUUAAGUUGCUCAGUGUACAGUGUCAAUCGAACUCUGAUGACGUAUACGAUCGACGUCCCGAUCCUUGUAAACAUGGACGUCAAACAUUUGCUGGACCACAGUGCUCUAUCACAGUGGUACGUCACAAAAUGAUGGCGUAUAUGAUUGCUGUCAGACAGUACCGCUCAUUUAAGGAUGUGCAUCCCAAACAUAUAAAGCAUAAAGUUUGGGGUUGUAAAAAUGCCAAUACGUCCCAUAAUGAUACUAGUUAGCGAGACCCACAAGAGCCGCCUAAUGUGAAGAGGUACGCCUCAAACUAAUGACGUAACACGCUUUGGUUCUGACAAAUACCGCUUCGUUGAGAUGUACCUCUAUCUGAGAAUGUGUGAACAAUUUCGACUCACAUGUUGAAACAAAAGAGAAUCAGAUAGUCCGAUUGAGCACAUGAAAUAUAUCACGACCCCAUUAUACCUCUAACUCAUUGAUGAGAAAUAACUUUAAGGGCAAACGGUUUUGCAUGACGUUGUAACAAGCGUUUUAACUGAACACCAGACUGUAUUGUUUUGUUUGCUUGUUGCUUAACGCACUCAGAAAUAUUCCAGGUAUAUGACGGCAGCUCGGCCAUAAUAGAGUCUGGAUCAGAAAAAACAGUGAUUGAUGAGCACCGUCCCACGCCUUCCAGGCACGAUGACAGGAGCGCCACCACUCGAGCCGACCACGGAGAUUCGUGUCCCGUGAUCCGAGACUGAUCACCAGAUUCAAAUUGCAGCCUCUGGUAUGACAAGCAUAGGAUAUAUAAUUCUAACCAAGAAUCUCCACGGACUGUAACAAAUGCGCCAUUUUGUUGAUAGAAUGGUGAAGUGGUGAAAGGAGUGACGGGCAAAUAAGAUCACAUUAUAGAAGUAUAAGUAAGAAAAUCUUGAUUGAAUAUCCAGUUAUCCCCGUCCACACGCAAUCACGUCUAGGCACGUUUUAAGCACAUUUAUCAGGAAGCAAAGGAACCUCGAUAAAAAGAGCAACCAAUAGCGACCAAACUCUCUGAAGUAGUUAAGUGUAUAAUAAGACAAUAAUCACAUUGUCAUUCAGAUACUUUUUCCAAGGAUGACAUCUUAGAUUAUCCUUGCUCUUGAUCAUGGAAUUGUCCACCUAUCCUUUAAGGAGCAAACAUGACUUUGGGUGAUUCCAUUGGGUUUUUAAUCGAUAUCUGAACCGGAUGAAUACUGCUAUUAGAAAUCAGGUUUCUGAACCGUUAUGCUGUGAAGUCAUUCAAUCCUGAUUCAAUGCCGACAUUGACGUCAAGAGAAGUGGGCAUUUUCGAUACGGAUGGAAACCUAAUAAUUAAUUCAUUUUGCCCCUGCUUUGAUCGAGAUGGACCUAAGCUGUGCCAUGUCUGGCACGUUUCUUGGGGACUUCAUCAUUAAACACGAACCAUUGCCACUGAUAACUUGUAUGUCUGAAGCAAUAAUUGACGGUGCAUUUGACCUAUCACCUGUAUCGCUAUCGUUUGUCAAGGGCCCCGUAUUACAUGACAAUCUUACUUGGAAACACCCUCUGUGUUUAAUGGCUUUAUCUUCUAUUGCUUGCUGAGCAUUCGUUCUAGAAAUGAAACGCCAGAAAUCUAUGAUUGUGGGUUCGAAUCCCGGUUCGCCCCGAUUCUGUGCUAGGUUUUGCAGUACCAUACCCGUGCUCGUGGGUUUCACCGAAGUUGUAAACAUCUGAGCCCUGCAUCACUUCGGACUUUCCUACAACAUUAAGCUGACAUGCCGUGAUAUAACUGGAAUACAGUUAAAAGCGGCGUUAAACCCAACUCACUCACUCACCUCCAAGAUUCAUGAGUAUAGGUGCCCGUGUGGAUUCUGGGCUGGAAAGGUCCCCAGCAAUCAAUGCUGGUCGCAAGAAGAGACUGAUGGAUCGGAUGGUCAGGCUAACUGUCUUGGUUGGUUGCGUCGUACCCCGGCGGCUUGCAUCGUUGCUGAUAUCAAUCACGUGAUUGUCUGGUCUGGUUAUUUUCAUGCCGCUUUCAUAUAGCUGGAAUAUUGCUGAGGGCAGCGUUAAAAACAAAACAAAAGAACUCAUCUUUAUUUAGACUGUUUGUGCUUUCGUAUUUAUAACAGAGAAAGGAAGGUGAAUACCUUCUGAAAACCUCAAAAUGAUGAGUCAAAUGUAUAUAUCAGUGAUAAAUGGAAGACCCUAGCCGGGCUUGUAAUAGACGAUUCACUGCACUACCUUUAUCAAUAUGCUAUUGUGUUCGUGAGUUGUUGAAAACUGUUAUAUUUUUUAUUGUGUUACCAAAUAAAAGAUAUCGAAUGCAUAAAUAUGUUAAAUGUUUGAUGAAUCCUUUUUUCAUUCUGUUCAAUAAAUAUUGAAUUCUUA
rnacentral:misc_RNA from 1 species